GAUGAACGCUGGCGGCGUGCCUAAUACAUGCAAGUCGAGCGAACAGACGAGGAGCUUGCUCCUCUGACGUUAGCGGCGGACGGGUGAGUAACACGUGGAUAACCUACCUAUAAGACUGGGAUAACUUCGUGAAACCGGAGCUAAUACCGGAUAAUAUAUUGAACCGCAUGGUUCAAUAGUGAAAGACGGUUUUGCUGUCACUUAUAGAUGGAUCCGCGCCGCAUUAGCUAGUUGGUAAGGUAACGGCUUACCAAGGCAACGAUGCGUAGCCGACCUGAGAGGGUGAUCGGCCACACUGGAACUGAGACACGGUCCAGACUCCUACGGGAGGCAGCAGUAGGGAAUCUUCCGCAAUGGGCGAAAGCUUGACGGAGCAACGCCGCGUGAGUGAUGAAGGUCUUCGGAUCGUAAAACUCUGUUAUUAGGGAAGAACAAAUGAGUAAGUAACUAUGCACGUCUUGACGGUACCUAAUCAGAAAGCCACGGCUAACUACGUG
rnacentral:rRNA from 1 species